AACGGACAAAGGCAAACUCCGGGUGACCGAGGGGGCGCAAAGUAGAGGAUCUUUUGCUCUUGCACGGAUUAUAGAAUUGUAUGGAAAAGGAAAUCCGUAAACCGUGCAAUUGUAUGGUUCUAGAAAAAGACAGCCCUACUGCCGAA
rnacentral:ncRNA from 1 species